UACAGAGACUGCGAGCGUUAAUCGGAAUUACUGGGCGUAAAGCGUGCGCAGGCGGUUUUGUAAGUCAGAUGUGAAAUCCCCGGGCUUAACCUGGGAACUGCGUUUGAAACUACAAGGCUAGAGUGUGGCAGAGGGGGGUGGAAUUCCACGUGUAGCAGUGAAAUGCGUAGAGAUGUGGAGGAACACCGAUGGCGAAGGCAGCCCCCUGGGUUAACACUGACGCUCAGGCACGAAUGCGUGGGGAGCAAGCAGG
rnacentral:rRNA from 1 species